rnacentral:precursor_RNA from 1 species
CCCAGGAGAUGGAGGUUGCAGUGUGCUGAGAUCGUGCCACUGCACUCCAGCCUGGGUG